rnacentral:rRNA from 1 species
UAGCUAAUACCCCAUAACGUCUUCCGACCAAAGAGGGGGACCUUCGGCCCUCUUGCCAUCUGAUGUGCCCAGAUGUGAUUAUCUUGUUGGUGGGGUCACGGCUCACCACGCUACCAUCCCUAGCUGGUCUGAGAGGAUGACCAGCCACACUGGAACUGAGACACUCUCCCGACUCCUACGGGAGGCAGCAGUGGGGAAUAUUGCACAAUGGGCGCCAGCCUUAUGCCGCCAUUCCGCGUGGAUUAAGAAGGCCUUCGGGUUGUAAAGUACUUUCAGCGGGGAGGAAGGCGAUUAGGCUAAUAACCUCAUGCAUUGACGUUACCCGCAGAAGAAGCACCGGCGUAACUCCGUGCCAACAUCCGCUGUAAUACGGAAGGGGCAAGCGGUAAUCCGGAGUACUGGGCGCAAAUCGCACGCUUGCGUCGUGUCAAGUCUGAUCUGAAAUCCCCUGGCUCAAACCGGGAACUGCAUUCGAAACUGGCAUGCUGGAGUCUUGUGGAGGGGGGUACAAUUCCGCGUGUAGCGGUGAAAUGCCUAGAUAUCUCAAAGAAUACCGGUGGCAAAUGCUGUCCCCUGGACACAAAGAGGCGCUUAUGUGCGAAAGCAUGGGGUACAUACAUGAAUAGAUUCCCUGGUAAAAGUUAAUAAUUCUUUUUUUGUUAGUGA